UAAACUGUUCCGCGUAUAAAAUCACACAUGAUGGGGCCAUAAAAAUGUAGCUCUUUUCUGCCAUCAGUAAACUUUGAACGAGACAAUGAGGCUCUUCUGCAUACUUAUUGCUGGGGAUUUCCAGCUUUCCACAUGCACGCUCCCUCUAAGUCUGAUUUGUGUGGGAAUACCUUCCUGUUCCUUAGCAUCCUCAUGCAAGAAACGAAAAUGAAGACAAAAGGCGGUAUGAAGAAGCAAACACGAUGUUUCCCUAAACUGUAAAAGGGAUGGCUGCACGAUGGCUGCCUAGCGAGCUCAUGUGUUGGACCCAUUUUGUUUCAGCAGUUUCCUCAUUAUAUGCAUGACUGGGUGUAAGUUUGCAGAACACAAACCACUUUGGUGAGCCAUAAGCCUGUCACCAGCUCCUAUCAGAAAGGUGUUUCUCUACCUCUGCUGUUUGGGCCUAGCUUGAAGUGGACUUUAAAGCAGUAAUAAAUGACAUCUUCACUUACACACUGGGGCGAGCCUGAGGCCGUAAAUGUGCAAUCUGGUCAGCGGGUCCCGCUGUGGGCCUCGGUCCCACUCCAGCAGCAGCAACAGCAGCAACAGCAGCAGCAGCGCCUGGAGGUGUAGAGGCCAGUAAAGGGGGCGGCGGAAGAGGAGGAUUCAUCGUCUGAUCUUAGAGCCACAGCAACUUUUUCAGCAAACAGGCAGUUUGCUAUCCUGCAAGACCUGAAAUUUCUACAGAGCAAACCACAGCCUUUCAUUCACCCGGAGAUGACCUAGAGACCUGCUUAUUAUUUCAUAGUCCAGCCCAGACCAGGCCUCAGAGGCCAAGAUGCAAUCUCCAUCAGCAGCAAAAAACAUCUAUGGACCUGCAAGAAGUACAGAUCAUAUUUUGCUAAUAAUAUUUUGUUAAUAUCGUUGAGAACCAAAUGUCGCACUUAAAUGCCAUUUUCACUAGACAUUGCAUACUAAUACUAACUUAAUAGGGGUUUAAAAAGCAGCUCACUUAUAAUUUUAUUUUAUGUAAUGUAGCAGGUUUAUAUUAUCAAAGCACAGGUGUCUACAAACUAUGUGCCACAUCACAGAAAUACUAAUAUAGAAAAUUAGAAGUUAUUCCAAUAUAUAUUAAAAAUGAGCUUCCUGGGGAUCCCUGGGUUGCUCAACGGUUUGGCGCCUGCCUUUGGCCCAGGGCGUGAUCCUGGAGCCCCAGGAUCGAGUC